rnacentral:misc_RNA from 1 species
GAUGAAGAACGUAGCGAAAUGCGAUAAGUAAUGUGAAUUGCUGAAUUCAGUGAAUCAUCGAAUCUUUGAACGCACAUUGCGCCCCCUGGUAUUCCGGGGGGCAUGCCUGUUCGAGCGUCAUUUCACCACUCAAGCCUCGCUUGGUAUUGGGCAACGCGGUCCGCCGCGUGCCUCAAAUCGACCGGCUGGGUCUUCUGUCCCCUAAGCGUUGUGGAAACUAUUCGCUAAAGGGUGUUCGGGAGGCUACGCCGUAAAACAACCCCAUUUCUAAGGUUGACCUCGGAUCAGGUAGGGAUACCCGCUGAACUUAAGCAUAUCAUAGCGGAGGA